UUAAAAACACUGUCUCUGGCUGACUUUCAAAAGUGUUGGAUAAACACUGGAUGGCCGCAUACACAUCACGCUAACAGGCUUAGGCAAUAAAGUAAUUGUGUUCUUGUAUU